UACGUAGGGGGCAAGCGUUGUCCGGAUUUACUGGGCGUAAAGGGCGCGUAGGCGGCCACCGCAAGUCAGUUGUGAAAUCUCUGGGCUUAACCCAGAAAGGUCAACUGAUACUGCGGGGCUAGAGUGCAGAAGGGGCAACUGGAAUUCUCGGUGUAGCGGUGAAAUGCGUAGAUAUCGAGAGGAACACCUGCGGCGAAGGCGGGUUGCUGGGCUGACACUGACGCUGAUGCGCGAAAGCUAGGGGAGCGAACGGG
rnacentral:rRNA from 1 species